rnacentral:lncRNA from 1 species
CCCCCGCCGCAAGUGGAUAAUAUUAAUAGUGUAAAAAUAUGCAAGUGUUCGGUAAACAGGAAGUUGUCAAGUGAUGAAUCUGAAAACGCAUCACACGGUAUAGCUGACUUAUAUAAAUCCUGAAACCAAAUUUCAGAAAUCCUUGUAUUGUAGUUCCUGAGAAAAAUGUGACGAAAAUUUUCAACUUGGCUAUCAGUGUAAAAUCAUACAAGUGUUCGGUAAACAGGAAGUUGUCGAAUGAUGAAUCUGAAAACGCAUCACACGGUAUAGCUGACUUAUAUAAAUCCUGAAACCAAAUUUCAGAAAUCCUUGUAUUGUAGUUGCUGAGAAAAAUGUGACGAAAAUUUUCAACUUGGCUAUCAUGUGUAAAAUCAUACAAGUGUUCGGUAAACAGGAAGUUGUCAAGUGAUGAAUCUGAAAACGCAUCACACGGUAUGGCUAACAUAUAUAAAUGUUGAUACCAAAUUACAGAAAGGGUGGAUGUGUAGUUCCUGAGAAAAAUGUGACGAAAAUUUUCAACUUGGCUAUCAUGUGUAAAAUCAUACAAGUGUUCGGUAAAUAGGAAGUUGUCAAGUGAUGAAUCUGAAAACGCAUCACACGGUAUGGCUAACAUAUAUAAAUGUUGAUACCAAAUUAAAGAAAGGGUGGAUGUGUAGUUCCUGAGAAAAAUGUGACGAAAGUUUCAUGGGACGGACUGACUGACGGACUGACGGACGGACUGACGGACUGACAGACAGAGGUAAAACAGUAUACCCCCCUUUUUUAAAGCGGGGGUAUAAAAAUGU